CUCACUGUAGUUUAUAGAAAACAUCGACUUGCAAAAUCGAAAAAGGACGAACAUCUCAGUGUGU
rnacentral:tRNA from 1 species